AUAUCUUCUUGGCCUUUUGGAUAAGAUCAAGUGUAGUAUCUGUUGUUAUCAAUUUAAAUUGUAUGAGACUAAAAUACAUGCAGUACAAACAAGUACAUCACAUUUCUUUUUUUCUUUUUUGGGGGGAGGGGAAGGGGUUCACACCAGGCAGUGGUCAGGGGUUACUCCUGGCUUUGUGCUCAGAAA